rnacentral:rRNA from 1 species
CUGAACCUUCGGGGAACGUUAACGGCGUCGAGCGGCGGACGGGUGAGUAAUGCCUGGGAAAUUGCCCUGAUGUGGGGGAUAACCAUUGGAAACGAUGGCUAAUACCGCAUAAUAGCUUCGGCUCAAAGAGGGGGACCUUCGGGCCUCUCGCGUCAGGAUAUGCCCAGGUGGGAUUAGCUAGUUGGUGAGGUAAUGGCUCACCAAGGCGACGAUCCCUAGCUGGUCUGAGAGGAUGAUCAGCCACACUGGAACUGAGACACGGUCCAGACUCCUACGGGAGGCAGCAGUGGGGAAUAUUGCACAAUGGGCGCAAGCCUGAUGCAGCCAUGCCGCGUGUAUGAAGAAGGCCUUCGGGUUGUAAAGUACUUUCAGCAGUGAGGAAGGUAUAUGCGUUAAUAGCGUAUUCAUUUGACGUUAGCUGCAGAAGAAGCACCGGCUAACUCCGUGCCAGCAGCCGCGGUAAUACGGAGGGUGCGAGCGUUAAUCGGAAUUACUGGGCGUAAAGCGCAUGCAGGUGGUUUGUUAAGUCAGAUGUGAAAGCCCGGGGCUCAACCUCGGAAUUGCAUUUGAAACUGGCAGACUAGAGUACUGUAGAGGGGGGUAGAAUUUCAGGUGUAGCGGUGAAAUGCGUAGAGAUCUGAAGGAAUACCGGUGGCGAAGGCGGCCCCCUGGACAGAUACUGACACUCAGAUGCGAAAGCGUGGGGAGCAAACAGGAUUAGAUACCCUGGUAGUCCACGCCGUAAACGAUGUCUACUUGGAGGUUGUGGCCUUGAGCCGUGGCUUUCGGAGCUAACGCGUUAAGUAGACCGCCUGGGGAGUACGGUCGCAAGAUUAAAACUCAAAUGAAUUGACGGGGGCCCGCACAAGCGGUGGAGCAUGUGGUUUAAUUCGAUGCAACGCGAAGAACCUUACCUACUCUUGACAUCCAGAGAACUUUCCAGAGAUGGAUUGGUGCCUUCGGGAACUCUGAGACAGGUGCUGCAUGGCUGUCGUCAGCUCGUGUUGUGAAAUGUUGGGUUAAGUCCCGCAACGAGCGCAACCCUUAUCCUUGUUUGCCAGCACUUCGGGUGGGAACUCCAGGGAGACUGCCGGUGAUAAACCGG